rnacentral:rRNA from 1 species
CCUACGGGGGGCAGCAGUGGGGAAUAUUGCACAAUGGGGGAAACCCUGAUGCAGCGACGCCGCGUGAGUGAAGAAGUAAUUCGUUAUGUAAAGCUCUAUCAGCAGGGAAGAAAAUGACGGUACCUGAGUAAGAAGCCACGGCUAACUACGUGCCAGCAGCCGCGGUAAUACGUAGGGGGCAAGCGUUAUCCGGAUUUACUGGGUGGAAAGGGAGCGUAGACGGCAGUGCAAGUCUGGAGUGAAAGGCGGGGGCUCAACCCCCGGACUGCUCUGGAAACUGUCCGGCUGGAGUGCAGGAGAGGUAAGUGGAAUUCCUAGUGUAGCGGUGAAAUGCGUAGAUAUUAGGAGGAACACCAGUGGCGAAGGCGGCUUACUGGACUGUAACUGACGUUGAGGCUCGAAAGCGUGGGGAGCAAACAGGAUUAGAUACCCCAGUAGUC